rnacentral:rRNA from 1 species
AGAGUUUGAUCCUGGCUCAGGACGAACGCUGGCGGCGUGCCUAAUACAUGCAAGUCGAACGCUUCUUUCCUCCCGAGUGCUUGCACUCAAUUGGAAAGAGGAGUGGCGGACGGGUGAGUAACACGUGGGUAACCUACCCAUCAGAGGGGGAUAACACUUGGAAACAGGUGCUAAUACCGCAUAACAGUUUAUGCCGCAUGGCAUAAGAGUGAAAGGCGCUUUCGGGUGUCGCUGAUGGAUGGACCCGCGGUGCAUUAGCUAGUUGGUGAGGUAACGGCUCACCAAGGCCACGAUGCAUAGCCGACCUGAGAGGGUGAUCGGCCACACUGGGACUGAGACACGGCCCAGACUCCUACGGGAGGCAGCAGUAGGGAAUCUUCGGCAAUGGACGAAAGUCUGACCGAGCAACGCCGCGUGAGUGAAGAAGGUUUUCGGAUCGUAAAACUCUGUUGUUAGAGAAGAACAAGGACGUUAGUAACUGAACGUCCCCUGACGGUAUCUAACCAGAAAGCCACGGCUAACUACGUGCCAGCAGCCGCGGUAAUACGUAGGUGGCAAGCGUUGUCCGGAUUUAUUGGGCGUAAAGCGAGCGCAGGCGGUUUCUUAAGUCUGAUGUGAAAGCCCCCGGCUCAACCGGGGAGGGUCAUUGGAAACUGGGAGACUUGAGUGCAGAAGAGGAGAGUGGAAUUCCAUGUGUAGCGGUGAAAUGCGUAGAUAUAUGGAGGAACACCAGUGGCGAAGGCGGCUCUCUGGUCUGUAACUGACGCUGAGGCUCGAAAGCGUGGGGAGCAAACAGGAUUAGAUACCCUGGUAGUCCACGCCGUAAACGAUGAGUGCUAAGGUUGGAGGGUUUCCGCCCUUCAGUGCUGCAGCAAACGCAUUAAGCAUCCGCCGGGGAGUACGACCGCAAGGUUGAAAUCAAAGGAAUUGACGGGGGCCCGCACAAGCGGUGGAGCAUGUGGUUUAAUUGAAGCAACGCGAGAACCUUACCAGGUCUUGACAUCCUUUGACCACUCUAGAGAUAGAGCUUUCCCUUGGGGACAAAGUGACAGGUGGGCAUGGUUGUCGUCAGCUCGUGUCGUGAGAUGUUGGGUUAAGUCCCGCAACGAGCGCAACCCUUAUUGUUAGUUGCCAUCAUUUAGUUGGGCACUCUAGCGAGACUGCCGGUGACAAACCGGAGGAAGGUGGGGAUGACGUCAAAUCAUCAUGCCCCUUAUGACCUGGGCUACACACGUGCUACAAUGGGAAGUACAACGAGUCGCUAGACCGCGAGGUCAUGCAAAUCUCUUAAAGCUUCUCUCAGUUCGGAUUGCAGGCUGCAACUCGCCUGCAUGAAGCCGGAAUCGCUAGUAAUCGCGGAUCAGCACGCCGCGGUGAAUACGUUCCCGGGCCUUGUACACACCGCCCGUCACACCACGAGAGUUUGUAACACCCGAAGUCGGUGAGGUAACCUUUUUGGAGCCAGCCGCCUAAGGUGGGAUAGAUGAUUGGGGUGAAGUCGUAACAAGGUAACC